UGUGUUGUGGAAAUAAGGUCUACACAUAUUUCCUGGUUAAAGGAAAAUGUCUAUUUACUCAUUUUACAAUAUAUAUAUAUCUCACAUAUAAAGCUAAGUACACAUAUUUCAAUCAAGAUGGCUGCUAGAAGCUUCUAACCCCUCCUUCCCCUCCCUUUUUAAACAUCGACUAACUACCUCGUGUAACAAGAUGGCGCCGGAAAACCGUGGGAGAUCCUCAUGGUCCCGGUGACAUCACCUGCAGUAGGCAGAGCAUUAGAG